rnacentral:rRNA from 1 species
GACGCUGGCGGCGUGCCUAAUACAUGCAAGUCGAACGGUCUUUUCUAUGGAAGCUUGCUUCCACUGAGAAGAUAGUGGCGAACGGGUGAGUAACACGUGGGUAACCUGCCCAUAAGAGGGGGGAUAACAUCCGGAAACGGGUGCUGAUACCGCAUAGUUUUCUUGAUUGCAUGAUUGAGAAAGGAAAGACGGCCUUUGUGCUGUCGCUUAUGGAUGGACCCGCGGCGUAUUAGUUAGUUGGUGAGGUAACGGCUCACCAAGACGAUGAUACGUAGCCGACCUGAGAGGGUGAUCGGCCACAUUGGGACUGAGACACGGCCCAAACUCCUACGGGAGGCAGCAGUAGGGAAUCUUCCGCAAUGGACGAAAGUCUGACGGAGCAACGCCGCGUGAGUGAAGAAAAGGUUUUCGGAUCGUAAAACUCUGUUGUCAGAGAAGAACAAGUUGGAGAGUAACUGCUCCAGCCUUGACGGUAUCUGACCAGAAAGCCACGGCUAACUACGUGCCAGCCGCAGC